UACGUAGGGAGCAAGCGUUGUUCGGAUUUACUGGGCGUAAAGGGCGCGUAGGCGGCUAAUUAAGUCAGCUGUGAAAUCUCCGAGCUUAACUCGGAACGGUCAGCUGAUACUGAUCUGCUAGAGUGCGGAAGGGGCAAUCGGAAUUCUUGGUGUAGCGGUGAAAUGCGUAGAUAUCAAGAGGAACACCUGAGGUGAAGACGGGUUGCUGGGCCGACACUGACGCUGAGUGCGCGAAAGCGUGGGGAGCAAACAGG
rnacentral:rRNA from 1 species